CGGGAAUAUUGCGCAAUGGAGGAAACUCUGACGCAGUGACGCCGCGUAUAGGAUGAAGGUUUUCGGAUUGUAAACUAUUGUCAUUAGGGAAGAUAAAAGACAGUACCUAAGGAGGAAGCUCCGGCUAACUACGUGCCAGCAGCCGCGGUAAUACGUAGGGAGCAAGCGUUAUCCGGAUUUAUUGGGUGUAAAGGGUGCGUAGACGGGAAAUUAAGUUAGUUGUGAAAGCCCUCGGCUUAACUGAGGAAUUGCAACUAAAACUGGUUUUCUUGAGUGCAGGAGAGGUAAGUGGAAUUCCUAGUGUAGCGGUGAAAUGCGUAGAUAUUAGGAGGAACACCAGUGGCGAAGGCGACUUACUGGACUGUAACUGACGUUGAGGCACGAAAGUGUGGGGAGCAAACAGGAUUAGAUACCCUGGUAGUCCACACCGUAAACGAUGGAUACUAGGUGUAGGGUGUGUUAAACAUUCUGUGCCGUCGCAAACGCAGUAAGUAUCCCACCUGGGGAGUACGGCCGCAAGGUUGAAACUCAAAGGAAUUGACGGGGACCCGCACAAGCAGCGGAGCAUGUGGUUUAAUUCGAAGCAACGCGAAGAACCUUACCAGGGCUUGACAUCCCUCUGACAGGACCUUAAUCGGUUUUUUCUACGGACAGAGGAGACAGGUGGUGCAUGGUUGUCGUCAGCUCGUGUCGUGAGAUGUUGGGUUAAGUCCCGCAACGAGCGCAACCCUUGUCAUUAGUUGCCAGCAGUAAGAUGGGGACUCUAAUGAGACUGCCGUGGAUAACACGGAGGAAGGUGGGGAUGACGUCAAAUCAUCAUGCCCCUUAUGUCCUGGGCUACACACGUGCUACAAUGGUCGGAACAGAGAGAGGCGAGACCGCGAGGUGGAGCAAAACUCAAAAACCGAUCCCAGUUCGGAUUGCAGGCUGCAACCCGCCUGCAUGAAGUCGGAGUUGCUAGUAAUCGCAGAUCAGAAUGCUGCGGUGAAUGCGUUCCCG
rnacentral:rRNA from 1 species